UACGUAGGGGGCAAGCGUUGGUCCGGAUUUAUUGGGCGUAAAGAGCGUGUAGGCGGCUAUACAGGUCCGCUGUGAAAACUCGAGGCUCAACCUCGAGACGUCGGUGGAAACCGUAUGGCUAGAGUCCGGAAGAGGAGAGUGGAAUUCCUGGUGUAGCGGUGAAAUGCGCAGAUAUCAGGAAGAACACCCGUGGCGAAGGCGGCUCUCUGGGACGGUACUGACGCUGAGACGCGAAAGCGUGGGGAGCGAACAGG
rnacentral:rRNA from 1 species